rnacentral:lncRNA from 1 species
UUUUAUUCAACAAAUGUUUCUUGUAUGCUCACUGGUUCCACUCAUGAGCUCUUUAAUUUGCUCAGCAAACAUGUACUGAGUGCUUCAUCCUGAGGAGAUAAAGAUAAGUCAGUCCCUGUCCUCAGAAGCUCCAGCCUACCAGAGAAGUUGUGUUGACAAAUCUCUAGGAAAAUAAUCACUAACUCAAACAAACCAGGGCCCACUAACCAAACCCCACUGCUUUCUGGAUGGCUCCCUUCCUGUUCACGGAGCCUGGUAUCUGAAAGAGCUACCUCUCUGCCUAUGUAUUUGAAAAACUGAUUUCAGAGCUCCUGCUGUUGCUGUAUGCUGCUAACAGGGACCAAUCUGCGGGAGACAGCAGUUUUUAGAAAAACAUUGUUUGUUUGUUUGUUCAUUCAUUCAUUCAUUCAUUCAUUCAUUCAUUCAUCUGAGGGAGAAGGUGAGAGAGACAGAGAGCACAGGCCAGGGACAGGGGCAGAGGGAGGAGAAGCAGACCCCUGCUGAGCAGGGAGCCGACACUGGGCUCCAUCCCAGGACUCUGGGGUCAUGACCUGAGCCAAAGGCAGAUGCUUAACCAGCUAGAGUCACCCUCGCGCCUGGAGCCAGCACUUUUUUACUCACGGUAAGAUGCCUCUUACGAGAUGUUGCUAAUGCUUCCUGACCAGUCCACAUCUCCUUCUGCAUGGGCAACAGACCAGGACUCAAGUGAUGUGCAUCCAAUGAUGGACUUCAGAGCUUUGGGAGCACACAGAGGAAGGGGAAGCAGCCACCAUUUAUUUGGAGCUGUGCUAAUAAAAGUAGCAAAUAUUGGGCACCCCUGGUGGCUCGGCGGUUUAGCGCUGCCUUCGGCCCAGAGUGUGAUCCUGGGGACCCAAGAUCGAGUACCACGUCGGGCUCCCUGCAUGGAACCUGCUUCUCCCUCUGCCUGUGUCUCUGUCUCUCUCUCUGUGUCUAUCAUGAAUAAAUAAAUAAAAUCUUUUUAAAAAAAAAAGUCCUGAAUGUCUUUACAGUUUCUUCCUUGAGCUGUCUAGAGGGAAUUAUUUAUUUUGCCUCUUUACCUUGCAAAUAGCUAACGGCUUCCAGCCAAGGCUCAACCCAACCCUUUGUGCCCUGCAGUCAUUUCUGUGUCUUUAAAAGAAAACCGAUUCUCUGGAAUGCUGUGCGUGCACAUGCCUGCCCGACUCAGCAGGCCCCACCUGCUGAGCAGGUAAACCAGAUCCUUCUGCCGGCCUCUGCAGCCACAUUCCAGCCAGGCAAGCUCCCACUCUCUAAUUGUUACCUGUCAAACAGGUCAACCAAGCACUUGGGUCUGGUCCAAACAUGCGCAUGUUCCCACGAAACCCUAAACCUGCAAACCUUUGACCUUUCUAUAGUUCCCCCAAUUCCCUUGAUUAUUUUAACCAGGGCCGAUUUAAAUCCAAAAGAUGACUUUUUAACGGGAAAGACCUAGGUUCUUUCCUCCCCUUCUUUUCCUCCCCUAGGUUCUUUCCAUGUGCCCUUUGGGGUUUCUGGACUAGCACACCGGUCGUAAUUUAAGUUGACUGGAAGGUGAAGAUAGGGGUAGCAAAGUUCCUGAAAUGAAAUCUCCUAGCCCUAAAUCAUUCAUGGAAAUCACAGGUUGUCCACCCUGACCAAAUGGAGAGUGAAUUCCCUGGGGUGGAUAAAAAUCAAAGUGCUUCCCAGGUAAAAAUUCCCUUCCUCUCCUUUCUGGCACUGGGCUGGCAGCAGAGAUUUAUGGCCUGUGGGCUCAGCCCCAAACCUGUGACAGGUGAGACCUUGAGUAAGUCACAGCUUCCUCAGCUGUGCUCAGCUUCCUUUCUUUAGUAAAGAGUAGAAGGAGGUGACACAGGUUCUAAGGCCUCUUCCAACACUACUCAAGGUAAGGGGAUCAUGUCACAGGACUGCUGAUGCUUCUUCAGCAUCUGGGAUUGAGGUGAGAGGCAUGGGUGCUACUAGGGGAGCCCUGGA